rnacentral:rRNA from 1 species
GACAGAGGGGGCAAGCGUUGCUCGGAAUUACUGGGCGUAAAGGGCGCGUAGGCGGGAUGGCAAGUCGGUCGUGAAAUCCCUCGGCUCAACCGAGGAACGUCGAUCGAUACUGCUGUUCUUGAGGAUUGCAGAGGAGACUGGAAUUCCCGGUGUAGCGGUGAAAUGUGUAGAGAUCGGGAGGAACACCGGUGGCGAAGGCGGGUCUCUGGGCAAUUCCUGACGCUGAAGCGCGAAAGCGUGGGGAGCAAACGGG